GAUGUACUCCCUCCGUCCAGAAAUACUUGUCAUUGAAAUGAAUGUAUCUAGAUGUAUUUUAAUUCUAGAUACAUCCAUUUAUGCGACAAGUAUUUCAGGAUGGAGGGAGUAGUAU
rnacentral:pre_miRNA from 1 species